rnacentral:snRNA from 1 species
GCAUGUGAAGCGAUCUGGCUGUGACAUCUGCCACCCCUCUGAUUGCCAGGGCUGGUCUGCUGAUCUGCCUAUCGAGGUGGGUGCACCCUUGCUUUCUCUCUUCUCCUUGUGUGUCCCUCCUAAAGCUGUGCGCUGGGUUGAGGAGGACCUUCCCUGAGGAGGAGGAUCAGUGCCCUGGCCCUGGCCCUAGCCCCUUCGGGCAGCUGUGCUUCCUGCCAGAACCUCUAGGCAGGCUCUCAAGGUCCGAGGCUGCUAGCAAGAAGGCUGUCGCCCUAUUGGAAGCUUUGGACCUCCAGCACAGUGAGCUGAAUAAACCUCUUU